rnacentral:rRNA from 1 species
CUACGGGUCGCACCAGUGAGGAAUAUUGGGCAAUGGAGGCAACUCUGACCCAGCCAUGCCGCGUGCAGGAAGACGGCCCUCUGGGUUGUAAACUGCUUUUGUUUGGGAAUAAACCCUUCUACGUGUAGAAGGCUGAAGGUACCUUACGAAUAAGGAUCGGCUAACUCCGUGCCAGCAGCCGCGGUAAUACGGAGGAUCCAAGCGUUAUCCGGAUUUAUUGGGUUUAAAGGGUCCGUAGGCGGAUCUUUAAGUCAGUGGUGAAAGCCCACAGCUCAACUGUGGAACUGCCAUUGAUACUGGAGAUCUUGAGUGUAGUAGAAGUAGGCGGAAUAGGGCAUGUAGCGGUGAAAUGCAUAGAUAUGCCCUAGAACACCGAUUGCGAAGGCAGCUUACUAUGUUACAACUGACGCUGAGGGACGAAAGCGUGGGGAGCAAACAGGAUUAGAUACCCGCGUAGUC